GGAACCUUUAAUCCCGGUUACUUGAAUUAUCUACAAGGUGUCAUGGCCGUUGAAUUUCCCAACGCUCCUAUAGAGGAAUUCCAUAUUCAAACCAAGAUUAUGAGGUGGAAGCGGACUUGUAAGGUAAUUAUGAACCUAAUUCAUACUUCUGGAUUUGAUUGGGAUCUGACCCGACACGAGGUGGUGGCCGAAGACGAUGUGUGGACUGCAUAUUUACAAGAUCAUCCACAAGCUUGGUUGGCAAGGGGUGUGCAAUUUCCACAGUUCAAUGAUUGGUGUCUUUGCUUCGUUGACCGCCGCAACCCAUAGAUGUUUGUUUUGAAAGCUAUUUCUUGUGAUUUAUGUUGUUCAUUUUCGUAAUGUGUGUUUUGAAAAA